UCAAACUAUUUUGCACGAUUU
rnacentral:piRNA from 1 species